CUUGUUACUUCGUAUGUAUUUGAAGUAAAAAGCCCCAUAUUAUGAACGUAUAUAAUAUAUUCUUUUUCUUUCUUACAGGAUGAGUAAAAGUGAAGUGUUCCUUUUCUGUUGUGAAGGCUGCUGUCUAGUUGAGUUGCUUCUCUAGCAAGAACAGUCAGUGUCAUUAAUUUUUUCCCUGUACUGUGUGGGUUGUGGAACAUGAAACUGACUUGAUUGAUCACAUUGCCGCUUCGGAGGCAGAAUUUCCUCUAGCCCAGUGUUUCUCAAGCUCCAAUGUGCAGCAAAAUCUCCUGGAGAUCUUGCUAAAAUGCAGAUACUGAUUCAACAUAUCCAUGAAGGGGCCCAAGAUUCUGCAUUUCCAAAAAGAUCCUUGGUGGUGCUGAGGCUGCUGGUGUAUGGACUACGUUUGGACCAGAAAGGUUUUAGUCCAUGCGAAUGCUGCCUGCAGAAAGCCCCUGGAGCCAUUUCUAGUUUGUGGAUGACUUUGGAGUUCUGCCUGCCUCCCUGUGUCUGCCAGGAUUCCCGGAGAAUGCUUCCUUAUCAUAUAUUGCUAAGGCUUGUUGUUUGGUGGUCAAAGUCGGCCCGCGGGAGCUGCAGGACUGAAACCAAGAAUGUCGUCAUUAAUUCAAAGAUACCUGAAGGCAGAGGAGAGAACCUUUUGGCUUUGGGUCCAUAACUCAGUUUUGCAGUAGGGAAGACCAGAACAGCCAAGAAUUACUGACAUGAUGUGGGAAAAGCUGAAGAAGUCAGUAUUUGGGGUUUAUUUUUAUUCAGGAGGUGGCUUGAGAUGGAUUAAUGGCAAAUCACAAUAAAUUAUUUAUCAGAUAAUAAGUGUGAUAAUUG
rnacentral:lncRNA from 1 species